rnacentral:rRNA from 1 species
AUGACGCAUGGAGCGCGGAGACAGGUGGUGCAUGGCUGUCGUCAGCUCGUGUCGUGAGAUGUUGGGUUAAGUCCCGCAACRAGCGCAACCCUCACCCCUUGUUGCYAYCAGGUNAWGCUGGGCACUCUAGGGGAACUGCCCCGGUCAACGGGGAGGAAGGYGGGGAUGACGUCAAGUCAUCAUGCCCCUUACGYCCUGGGCUACACACGUGCUACAAUGGCCGGUACAAAGGGAUGCNACRCCGCRAGGKRGAGCYAAACCCAAAAAGCCGGUCUAAGUUCAGAUUGGAGUCUGCAACUCGACUCCAUGAAGGAGGAAUCGCUAGUAAUCGCGUAUCAGCACGACGCGGUGAAUACGUUCCCGGGCCUUGUACACACCGCCCGUCACACCACRAAAGCCAGCUGUACUCRAAGUCGCUAAGA